GGGAAACUUACCAAGGCUUAAUUUGACUCAACGCGGGAAAACUUACCAGGUCAAAACUAUGGCGGGAUUGACAGAUUGAUAGCUCUUUCUUGAUUCGUGGGGUGGUGGUGCAUGGCCGUUCUUAGUUGGUGGAGUGAUUUGUCUGGUUAAUUCCGUUAACGAACGAGACCUUAACCUACUAAAUAGUUUGCAAUCUCACCGAUUGCAAUUCUUCUUAGAGGGACUAUAUGUGUUAAGCAUAUGGAAGUUUGAGGCAAUAA
rnacentral:rRNA from 1 species